rnacentral:rRNA from 1 species
CCCUUAGAUGUUCUGGGCCGCACGCGCGCUACACUGACGAAUGCAACGAGCUUAUAACCUUGGCCGAAAGGUCUGGGUAAUCUCCAAAUUUCGUCGUGAUGUGGAUAGAUUAUUGCAAUUAUUAAUCUUCAACGAGGAAUGCCUAGUAAGCGCAAGUCAUCAGCUUGCGUUGAUUACGUCCCUGCCCUUUGUACACACCGCCCGUCGCUCCUACCGAUUGAAUGGUCCGGUGAAGCGUUCGGACCGUGGCCUUUGGACGGUUCGCCGUCUGUUGGCUGCGGGAAGUUCGUUAAACCUUAUCAUUUAGAGGAAGGAGAAGUCGUAACA